rnacentral:lncRNA from 1 species
GUUUUUGAUGAAGUUAAAGUCCAAUCGACUUCAAACUUGGUACACAUGUUCCUUAUGAUAUGAUCUUUCUAAUUUUAAUACCAAAUUAGAGAUUUUACCCCAAUUUCUUGUCCACUAAUAGAAAAUGAUAGUGUGAGUGGGGCAUUCGUGUACUAUGGACACAUUCUUGUUUACAGUGUUUUAGAGAUUCAUUGGAGUUUGUGUAUGAAAUUUUAAAGAUCUAAAGCAUGUCAAAUAAAUUUUCUAUAAUCUGUUAGUUGAUAUUAUGUACAUUAAGAAGUUUAGUGCUAGCUAGUCUAUGUUUAGAUAUGUAUUCAUUGCAAUCCAGAAAAUAACCUUGCUCACAUAUGUUUAUGUCGUAAUUCUUUCAUGUUAAUUUGUAUAUACAGUUUGUUUAAUUUUUUGUUAUUGGGAAAAAAAAUUUGAUUAUGAACUGGGUGCCUGAAAAUCUUUUUCAUACUUAUUGUGUUUUGCAUGUAAGGGUAGCGAAAUUAAAAUAGAUAUUAUCUGUGAUAUUUAAUGUUUUUUGUAUGUUUUAUUUAUUUGUUUCCUGUUUUUAUAAUGUUUCUCAUGACAAAAUGUUUUGUACUAACUAACUGAUAAACUUUCUUAUUGUUCUAAUCAAGGAAAAAAAUCAAAUCUUUUGAAGUCUUGGUGGCUGCAAUAUCUCUUUUGUAUGUUAUUAUAUCUUUAUGUUUUAAUUCUUGUUUAAUGAUAGGAGAAUUAAGUUGGAAUGCUUUUGAAAUAACUUAUUAUAAGAAAAGGACAAAUCAAAUUGUCUCGAAGGAUUUUAGUGUUGCCUCAUAUUAAUGAUUAUGUGUUUGUUUUGUGGGUUGUUGUCUCAUCGAUGUGUACCCCAUUUAUCUUUUUAUCUAUAGGAUAAAAGAAUUUAAGAAAUUGUGAAACAUUUUUUUCUAGUAAGACCAUACAUUAAUUAUAAAAUUCAUAUAAGUUCAUUUCAUUUUAAGGACAUUGUUAUAAAUAUCUUAAGCUUGUUGAGUGCAAAUAAAGACCGACUUUAUUCAUAAUAUCUCAGAACUAGCUUUAACAUGUUUGAUGUGUAUUACUUUCAGCAGAAAUUUUUAAAUAUUGGAUCUGAAUGAUAAUAUUGCAUACUGUAAACCAAAAAUAUCUUUUGCCACUUCAGGAAUAGAUAAAUAAGGCAACUAUGAAUCAUCACUAAAUUGACUAACUUAGAUUUGCAAAAUUCAAAAAUAAAGUAAGAAAAUAAUUGUAUUUUUGCUCUCCCUUUAUCUACCAGUUAGUUUAGGAUCUAAAAGUUAUUUAAAGUAUUCUUUGCAUAUUAAUAAACAUAUCUAUUUUGAUAAAUUCUAUAUUUACAUGAUAAUAUAUAUAGAACUAGCUUCAAUAAAUCAUAUACUACAGGUAGAGGGUGACUUCCCUCAUGAAAUAUUAGAACUACAUUAUAUUUUCAUACUUGCACACAAAAUAUGUACAAAUCAAAGAAUAUUUCAUUUUAUAUGUAACUGUAACAGUAACAUGUCUCAUUGUGUAAAGUAGAUUGGUAUGAGAUGGAGAGAACAUUCCAGAAAUAAAAGUAG